rnacentral:rRNA from 1 species
AGUGAACGCUGGCGGUAGGCCUAACACAUGCAAGUCGAACGGCAGCACAGUAAGAGCUUGCUCUUACGGGUGGCGAGUGUCGGACGGGUGAGGAAUACAUCGGAAUCUACUUUUUCGUGGGGGAUAACGUAGGGAAACUUACGCUAAUACCGCAUACGACCUACGGGUGAAAGCAGGGGAUCUUCGGACCUUGCGCGAUUGAAUGAGCCGAUGUCGGCUUAGCUAGUUGGCGGGGUAAAGGCCCACCAAGGCGACGAUCCGUAGCUGGUCUGAGAGGAUGAUCAGACACACUGGAAGUGAGACACGGUCCAGACUCCUACGGGAGGCAGCAGUGGGGAAUAUUGGACAAUGGGCGCAAGCCUGAUCCAGCCAUACCGCGUGGGUGAAGAAGGCCUUCGGGUUGUAAAGCCCUGUUGUUGGGAAAGAAAAGCAGCAGGUUAAUACCCCGCUGUUCUGACGGUACCCAAAGAAUAAGCACCGGCUAACUUCGUG